AUUGAACGCUGGCGGCAUGCCUUACACAUGCAAGUCGAACGGUAACAGGUCUUCGGAUGCUGACGAGUGGCGAACGGGUGAGUAAUACAUCGGAACGUGCCCGAUCGUGGGGGAUAACGAAGCGAAAGCUUUGCUAAUACCGCAUAAGAUCUAAGGAUGAAAGCAGGGGACCGCAAGGCCUUGCGCGAACGGAACGGCCGAUGGCAGAUUAGGUAGUUGGUGGGAUAAAAGCGUACCAAGCCGACGAUCUGUAGCUGGUCUGAGAGGACGACCAGCCACACUGGGACUGAGACACGGCCCAGACUCCUACGGGAGGCAGCAGUGGGGAAUUUUGGACAAUGGGCGAAAGCCUGAUCCAGCCAUGCCGCGUGCAGGAUGAAGGCCUUCGGGUUGUAAACUGCUUUUGUACGGAACGAAAAGACUCUUUCUAAUAAAGAGGGUCCAUGACGGUACCGUAAGAAUAAGCACCGGCUAACUACGUGCCAGCCGCCGCCGUAA
rnacentral:rRNA from 1 species